CGAGUUAUUAUGCAAAUCAUAAAGGAUAUGGUUUUGUCUAGAAAGAGAGGUGCACAGCUGUGGAGAAGCCUCAGUGAAAGCCAGAGACAAGUCACUUCCCUUUUCAUUGGGUGUCACCUCCCUGAAGUAGAAGCACAUUU